rnacentral:rRNA from 1 species
GACGAACGCUGGCGGCGUGCUUAACACAUGCAAGUCGAACGGAAAGGCCCUGCUUUUGUGGGGUGCUCGAGUGGCGAACGGGUGAGUAACACGUGAGUAACCUGCCCUUGACUUUGGGAUAACUUCAGGAAACUGGGGCUAAUACCGGAUAGGAGCUCCUGCUGCAUGGUGGGGGUUGGAAAGUUUCGGCGGUUGGGGAUGGACUCGCGGCUUAUCAGCUUGUUGGUGGGGUAGUGGCUUACCAAGGCUUUGACGGGUAGCCGGCCUGAGAGGGUGACCGGCCACAUUGGGACUGAGAUACGGACCAGACUCCUUCGGGAGGCAGCAGUGGGGAAUAUUGCACAAUGGGCGGAAGCCUGAUGCAGCAACGCCGCGUGCGGGAUGACGGCCUUCGGGUUGUAAACCGCUUUCGCCUGUGACGAAGCGUGAGUGACGGUAAUGGGUAAAGAAGCACCGGCUAACUACGUG